rnacentral:rRNA from 1 species
AUGCCAUACUAUGGUUAUUUAUUUUCUGGAUGUGUCGUACAAUUAACCAAGGAAGGUGUUAGAGCGUGCUAUGAGUCAAAGAUCAGCAUGGCCUGCAACCACAACAAUACGGCCACCGUGCAAGUUCCUUUCAAGCAGCAGCAGCUUGACUAUGUCAUCUACGACAUGAUGAGGACGAGAUGGACCCCCAUAUAUGAACUAGACGAGUCUGCGCCAAUGACUUUAGUUGCAAGAAAACAGCGAAUUGGUACCGAUUUACAAAAAGAAAAGAAGCUAUUAAAGGAAGGAUUAGACUAUUUACACUGUCCCAUUGACAUAUCAUCCCCAUAUGGAUAUGCCAAAGCUUGA